AUCCACAAAUCCCAGCAUAGUUUAGCCAACUGCUGUCUUUCAUGUCUGUUGAGUUGAGCAAGUGUCGUGGAGUUGCUCAACUCAAAGUCAGUUUCCUUAAUGCGGGGAAAUACCCUGUAUGUGUCUGCCGGCAGUAGAUCUAGAAACUGGUGAGAUGAAUGAAGCUUCUGCUCUCUCCUCAUCCAGAAGUUCCGGCUACUUUUCCAUCUUGCGUGCUGUGCAUAUGCUAUCUGAACUGCUUGUGACAUCAGAGCUCCCCUGUUUCACAGAGUGACAUAUAACACACGCAAGUACUGGCACUAAGAGUUGACAUCUCUCUCUUUUAUUUAUAUAUAGAAUUAGUUGGCUUCCUGCAUCUCUCACACUUUAAUGUGAUUGUGUACACACACACACACACACACACACACACACACACGUACACGUAUGUACUUUGAGGUUUAGCUUCCUCUUUUCUUAUUUAUUAGAGGAGAAUAAUAAUGCUUUAAUUUAAGUCAGUGUAUUUGCAACAUCAGUUUUUAUGUUUAGAAACAUAACUAUUUUGUUUAAGAGAACUGACAGCUUCUUUUUUGCUAUCUUUUAGUGCAAUAAGCCGUCGUAAAGGAAAACCUGUCCGUUUUUUGCUGUGUAUGAGCAAGCAGCAGUUUGCCCCACUCACUGUGGGAGAAUGGAUAUGUCCGCAUAUUUAAGGACAAAGUUAGCCUUAAUUUUGAAAGGAAAGUCUUGUAAAGGCAAGAGGCCUUUUUUAAUCCAAAAGGGCCAACUCCCUCAUGCUGCUAGCAGUCUGCAAGCUUUAAUGCUGUCUAGUGACGCUGAUGUUGAUUCCACAAAGGAUCAAACAACUUGGGGUUUGAGGGCACAAUUUGCUUCCCCCGCCCUCUCCCCAGCUUACCAGAGAUCCACAUUUUUUAGCUCUGUCCAAAUGAAAUUGUGCAGACAUCUAAAGAAAGCAUGAAGUUUUUUUUAAAAAAACAGUUUUUAAUUGCAUAGACUUUCCUUUUGAAACUGAGCACUUCAUUUCACUUUACAAAAAACGUUACUGAGGGCUGGGAUACGUCUAGCAAGGGAGAUCACUAAAAUGUGAAUCCGCUGAAUGGGCCUCUUCGCUUUUGCUUUGUUUCAUUCCACUUUAAACCUGAAGCAACGCAUUUUGUGUCAGAGGUGAGCAUUUUAACUCAGUCGCAGGAAUUCAGGGGAGUUUUUGCACUUUUGUAAAACACAUGAGCUGCAUUGUUGACUGCUUUAUUUGCACUGGUCUUAUAGUAUAUCUGCAUAGAUAUAUACUGCAGAUGGUUCAUAUGGGCAUUGUCGGUAACCCAGCCCUACUGAAACAAACCAACCGUUCUCCACAUGAAAACCAUUUGAUUGCUUGUAAUAUCUUGCUUCUCCUUUUUUUGUUGUCCUCAAGCAACCCACUAUAUUUGCCAACUUACUGUAUUUUGAGCUGAGAAAUCUGAGCCCAUUUUGCUCCAGACAACAUAAACUUUUGCUGUUUGCUUCUCCCCCCCACCCUCAAAAUCUCCUGGCACCAGAAAACUUAAGUACUGUAUUUUGUAUGUUUCCUAGUGCGGGCUGCUGCUGUGGUCCUAAAGUGCAUCAGCGCACUUGCAAUCUUGCCAGGUUUACUCCCAGUUUUUGCGAAAUGGUACAAUGCACAUUUAACUUCUUGGGGGCAAGAAUCAAAGUGUGCUUGAAAUGGGGGAGCAGCAGUCUGGAAAGUGGGCGCUAGGGUGCAAGGGAAACCACUCGCGUCGAAAGAGUUCUCAUGAAUUGCGUCACAAGUGGGUGUUUUUGUGCUCCAGUCUCUAGAAGGGUCCUCCUCCCUGGGGAUUCUUCAUGCACUGCACUUAUCUUUUUGCAUAAAUUGACUGCAGGGAGUUUAGUAAAAAGAGGUGGGGGGGGGGAGAGCCAGGAUGUGACCAAUGGACUCUCUGACUUCCCCUCCUUUGCUCCUCUUUCCCAGAGUGUGCAUUGCCUGCUGCCAAGAUAGCCUACUGAACCUCACUGGAGCCUUAGUCAAAUUUGGGGGUUCUUCUGUGAAUGCAUGAUAGACUUGCGACAAGCUUUUACACAUGUCAGCAUUCAAUUUUUUCCCCCGUUUCUAAGUGAUUGGGGCUCCAGUGGGUAUUCUUACUGAAGUAAGUUUCUCAAUUCAGUUUUUGGAAAGAUGGGUGUUUUUAUUUUUAUUUUUAAAGGGCAUUGUGUAGUGUUGGGAUCUUGGCCUCCAGAUUUUUUUUCAAAAAAAAUACCUUUUAGCGGUUUACACCAAGAUGCACUAGAACAACCUUUCCUGUCCUGCCCCAACACUGAAAAACUGUGGCUCUAAAGCUGCCUUGUGGCAUUCGCCUUCCUCAUCUCUCUGCAAAAUAAAAUUAAUUUAAAGCCUUUCAAGGGAGAGCCUCUGGAAAAUAUUAGCGCGAGGGUGCUCUUGCAGUUGGUUUUCAUGUGGAGAGGACUUGGGUGUUUAAAAACAAGACCCUCUCCAAGAAGUUUGAAUUUUGAAGCUGUCUUCAUGAAGUGCCGAUAAACAUUUGUGAUACAAUAGCAACUUACUGGCAUUUGAGAGUCACUCUUGUUAUGAUACUGUAGCUGCUAUAUUUAUUUGAAAAUGAGGUGGACAAUUACUGCACUAGGGAGUGAGGGCAGGUGAGCAGGAAUCCAGGCUUUGCGUUGGGCGUGAUAUUCUGGUGUUUUGUAACGUUUCAAAAGAACCUUUAACCGUGCGAUAUAACAAGUAUAACAAAGGGUGCUGUUAUAACCGAGAUUCUGAAAUAGCCAGAUAUUCUUCCUUUGAUUUUCAAAAGAUAUACGUGGAUGUUUGCCGUGGAGGGGAGGGAUGUGGGGGGGAUUUAAAUGGUACCUCAUCUGUGGUGGCAGUUUCCAGUAUAUUUUUCCCAGGACUAUAUGGACUUUUAUUUUUGUACGUGCUCUUCUUUAAGGAGGGGGGGGGAGCUUUCUAGACUUUUUAAUGUGCUUUCGUGGAAAUCCCCACGCCUGGUGUGCACACAUGCCCACUCUGCUUGCUCAGCUGAAAUAGCUGUCUGUCUGGCCGAAGUUAGUAGGGGGGCAGAGGUUGGCUGUCUUAAUGACUAUGUCCAGCUUGGCCUUGUUUUAAUAUGCAUAUUUCUGCCUAGAAUGGUGGCUCCCGCCCAGUUCCACCCAACAGGUCCCAGACCUCACUUGGACUGGCAAGUGCCAACUGUUCUUGUUCUUCUUCCUCCCUUAGAGGCUUUGGGAGGUGCCCACGACAGCCUGGGGUUCUGUCCUCCCCAGGAACACUGGGGCAAUGUGUCGAUAAGCUAACUGAAGGUGCUCUGCCGCAAGCCAUGGCUUUCUCUUGGUGCCAUAGGGCUCACAGUCUCAUCAGGCACACCGUUCCCUGCCCGUUUCCACUGAGACUUGUGUGAGGAGCGGUUCUUCCCCUUCCCCAGUCAGGCAGUAGCUAUGGAAGCAAAGGAGAGUCCUGUUGGCUGAGCUUGUUGGAGAUCGGGUAGCAGCUGCCAAGUGGUGCCCUGUCAAGACUUCAGCCUUCAAGCUUCAUAUUGUGGACCACAGGGUGUGCGCACAAGUAUGCGACUGUGAUAAAAUUAAAAACAAAAACACGCCUUGGGAGGGUUAAAAGGACUCUGCUACAAGCACUGGCCUGAAGUCUCCUUUAUGGGUGGUUUCCCUAGCAAGUUCCCUGCAAGGCAACUGCAUUCCUGAAGGCUGAAAGUUGAGGUGUCCUUUGGCCUUGUUUUGUGUGUUUCUGUGCAAAUUCUUGUGUUUCGAAGCCAGGCGUUGGGUACACUUCUUAAAUUCCUGUGUAAUCUUCCUGUUGCAUUGCUUUGCUUUGAGACCAAGGGGUCUCAAAUGUAGGUCCCGAGAUGUUGUUGUUGGACUACAGCUCCCAACAUUCCCAGCCACAACUUGUGGCUGGGCAUGUGGGGAGCUGUAGUCCAACUACAUCUGGGGACCCAAGUUUGAGAACGCCUGUCUUCAACAAUAGCAACAGACUUCCCCCCCAUUUGUUAGAUCAGGAAUAGACAACUUUGGCUCUCCAGAUGUUGCUGAACGACAACUCCUAACACCCUCAGGUGCGAUUUAUUGUGACUGGGGAUGAUGGGAGUUGUAGUUCAGCAGCAGCCGGAGAGCCAAGCUUGCCUACCCCUGUGUUAGCUGAAUCACAGGACCUUAAGAGUUGGAAGGGACCUUGGCAGACUAAUCCAGUCCCAUGCUCAGGGCAGCCUGAGAAGUUACAUGAAGGAAAUCUUGUGGUGUGAACUGAUGGGGAGAAUAUCUUUCCAAGCCUAUACUCCAGUAAACCCCAUCCAAAAGCCCAACCCACCCAACUCUUUGCCUGUUUAUGUUGGAGUAAAUCCUGUUGAGUUCCAUGGAACUUGCUUCCCAUAUAAGUGUGCAUAGGGGUUUUAGCCUUAAUUUCCUUUCUUUUCCCUGUGUGUGUCAUUGAGAGUUGGGUGCUCUGUGUGUAUAUAUAUAUAUAUGGAGUGUGAGGGAGCAAGACUCAUCUUUUUAAUCAACUUCUCCUUCUGUUUACUUUGGGGCAAUUCACACACGCAUGGAGUGAUUUCGUCUCAAGCACAGUAACGUCUCCAAAGAGGCACUGAAAGAGGCAUUCAGUGUGAGAUGGAGCAACAAAAAUGUGAUCUUGAAGGGCAGGGUAUAAGUUGGCCGCUCCUGUUAGGCGGAUGCAGCGUGCACUUUGGCUUUUAGAUACUUUGGCAGAGUUGAGCAAGCAAAUUCCCAGAAGCCUGGGCAGGCAUGGUAGCACUUAUUUUUAGAUAUAGCGUUUGUGGAUGUUUGAAUGUUGUGAUCACAAGAUAUGAACUUGGACCCUCAAUUAUGACUUGCCGGCAGAUCCUCUGAAAUUUUGAUUUGCAACAGAUACUGGGAUUACUGUUUUGAAUAGCCAUUGGGACCGCACGGGGGUGGGGGCAGGGUUCAGAGUGCAGCGGAAGAUGUCCGCAGUGAGAACAAGGAUUGGUUUUCUUAGAUUGGACUACAGAAGCAAUUCCUACUGGACUAAAGAAGGAGUUCAACAAGAUAAUCCAUGCUCAGAGUGUCUCAGUCUCAUUUUCAUGUUUAGAAUUGUCUGGAUGAUCUUCAGUAGGUCCAUAACCACAAAGAAUUGUUGAAAGCAAAGUUCUGCCAUCUAAAGCUUGGAGAGAUUUAUUUAUUUAAAGCAAGACAGUCCUCAAAGUGCCUUUUUAGAUGGUGCUGUAGAAUAUAUAUAUAUUUUUUGUUCUCAAAGUUGUACAUGGCUAGAAAAAUAUCAACACAUUUAGUGAAAACAUGCUAAGUUUUAAUGAUAGUAUUGUUUGUGAUGUUGGGUACUAUGUUGCUUUCCCCCCUAUGUCAGGACCAAGAUAACCAAGGACCAUAUUAUCGUGGGGGGAAGGAAUAGUACUUAUAAGCAACUUAAAAUCCACUGUGUGGAUAUGAGAUACUUUUUUUUAAGUUUUAGGGGUGAAUAGCCCAGGACUCUCACUGAAUUGUUCAGAGGCCAUGAACAUGAAACUGGGGAAGGCCGUAUAUAGUGCUUGAAGCUGUGUACUCUCAGGCUAGUAGAAUUCUUUUUAAAAUAUCCCAGGUUUCACUUUAAAUGAAAAAACAACUUUUAAAAACUAAACUUAUAGCUGUCAUGCUUGUGACAGGAAAAUGUGAUGGCAAAAAUAUCCAGCCGAGACCCUUUUUGUUUUGAGCACACCCGCUGUCCCGAUUGACAUCUGUCUCUUCCUUUAAAAAAAAAACACAACCCAGUGGGGACUGCUUUUCAGCUGCUGUUGUGACCUUGGCGUUGCAAUAACAGUCAGGACAACAUGAAUAAGUGCUACACCUCAGUUGCUACAGAAGUCAUAAUAGUGAAGUUGUGGUGAUUACGUUGUACAACUUACUUGCACAUACCAGCAGAAGAAUCCAGUGAUGGCCUUAAUGGCACCAUUAGGACAUUUUUUCAAGAAAAGCUGUGUUCCCUUGUGUUUAGACUAUUAGCCCCCCUGAGUAGUAUGUGAAUCAGUUUUGCCAGAGUGUUGACUGGUCUUCUGCAGAAGAGCUUCUAGAGGUGGUACUUUAGCAGGGACCAAGUUACAGACCAGAGUUUCAGCAGGACAAAGCAAAAAUUAGUUCAGACCAACCUAAUAUCCAGCCUCAGGGUCUCGGAACAUCUUUGUAUUCGCUUCCAUGUCCAGAAGAUGAAACGAUUGAUGUACUGCUGGGUUGUAGGGGUGGGAUGCAGACGUAGUCAAAUCAGCUUACCAUGAGAAUAGCCUCUUGGCUUUUGGCAGUGGCCUGCUCUGAUUUCUCGCGAUGCCAUCUAUUGGCAAGAGCAGGAAUUGCAGCCUGCACAGGUGUGCUGCCUUUCUCUCCUGAUGCAAGCCAUCCCUUCUUUCUCCAGAUGCUCUGUGACUGCAAAUGUCACUUUGGCCAGCUGCCUUAGUCCGCAUGUGCAUUCCCUAUUCUGCAUAUAGUUCUGCUUUUUAUUCCUCUUGAAUAAGCUUAUCCGAAGACAUUGUAUUAAAUAUUGUUCAGUUUGCACUGUAUCACAUCUGACUUCAUACUAAUUCGACUAACUUUUGUAAAUACAGUGCAUCAUGUUCAGUCAACUGAACACUUGUUUUUUGAGUGUCCAAAUGUCCAGCCCUAGCUGGAUAUUAAUAGCACAUAGCAUAUGGUUGGAGGUUAAACAUGCAGAAGGGUUCUUGAACACUAGUCCUAUCCAAAGGAGUAGAGCAAAAUGUUGAAUAUGUAGCAGUUUGAAGGUAGAAUGGGAUAUUAGUGGAAGUACAGACUUCUCUAUAAGUGGUGAGUGUGGUGAAUCAUUAAAAUAGGCUACCUCUUGAGUGAUGGAGUCUUAAAAUUCUUGUACAGGUAAAUUUUAGCUAUAUUAGAAUUAUAAAGGUGCAGAAGAUAGCCCAGAAGCAAAACUCACAUUCUUUUAAGUUGGAAUGCUCCAGAUUCCCCCAUGGAGAGAUUACAACAAUUUGUUCAUGCUUACCCUAACCCUUUAUUCUGUGCAGAAACGACUGCAAUUGUACCUUAAUUGUUUGGGGAUAGGGAUAAAAAAAAGAGGUGAUAACACACAGGAAGCUGUCAGUGCAACAAUUCAAUCACCUCUUUCCCAUCUCUAGGUGGGUAGGCGUUGCCAAAAACGACUGAGCAUUUGUCCCCCGAGAGAUGGUACCAUUGGCCAAAAAUGUGUGGGCCUAGCUCAUGGACCAAUAACAAUAGCACAUGCACAGUAACACAGAAUUGAGUUCUUGUGGUGGUGAAGCUUGCGUCGAGGGUGGAGGGACCCUGAAGCCCUAAAAGACUGAGGAACCGGAGGACAUACAGAUGUGAGCCCUUGUUGCUUUUAAUGAUGAGAAUGGACUGAGAUUCCCAUUUCUAAACUCUUAAGAUGGUAAAUAAGAUUGAUAGUCAGGAUCAAGAGGCAGAGGAGCAUAGGGGUAUGCAACUUGCAUGGCCUCCGACCAUGGUUCCACCACUCUCAGUAUUGUGUGCAGUGACUGGCAGCAACUCUCUCGAGUUCCAUACAGGGCAGUUUUCCCAGCCUGAUCUGGCACUGUUGAAGGUUGAACCUGGAACCUUCUGCGUUAGAGCGGGGUCUUAGCCACCAAGCUGGGACCCUCCGCCCCUGGUGCCUGUUCCAGAUAUGUGGUGUUUAGUGCAAUUUUCAGCAUAGGAACUGGUGGUGAGAAGGGAAGGGGCAGAGGCUAGGUGGGUCAGUCACAGAUUAGUGGGAGGUUUUAUAGAGCAGAGUGUGUCCUACAAGCAAUGACUUGUCUCAAAGGAGAGGUGCUGGUGCUUCGUAGUGACAGGUUCUGGAUAUUAUGGGAUGAAAGUGAUGCUGUGUGUGUGUGUGUGUGUGUGUGUGUGUGUGUGUGUGUGUGUGUGCGCGCGCACACUCAAAGGUGCUCUUACUGUUACUUCCAGGGUUCAGCCCUAGUAUCCAAAGAGCCCUUGAUGUGUGGCAUCAAACAUAUUCUCAUACUGUAACUAGUUUUUCAGUUUAGCUCCAACAAAUGGGUGCUAAUGGAGAGUCUAGUGUCAAUUGUUUCUCAGAAAAAAAGAAGCUCUCAGGCUGUCUUUGAAGGUGUCAUACUCUAAGAUUGGCCAUUUGGUUGGGCAAAACACUGCCGAAUCCUCUCUGUGGCAGUACAACUGCUAUCCUCUUCUGGCUCUGCAUUUUAAUCAUGCACCUUUUGUUCCCCCUCUCAGUCACUUGCCCUGUGAGUGAGAAACUGAUGUCUUAUUUUUAACUGCCCCUUUCCUGAGUCACUACAUGUUUUAAUAUUGUUUAUUUAAGGUGGUUGUCUUUUUUAAAGUUGCACAUUAAGCUUUGUAGUAUUUCUUAAAGUGACUUUUAGAUUGUAGUUAAUCCUAAGAAUUAACAUGAUCAUAAGCCCUAUUCAGACUUGAUGCUUUGUGUGUGACUGUGACUGUUCCUUCAUUCAUUUUAAAAGUGAACCUGGAUGAUUGAUUAAGUGCUGUCAAGUCGGUGUCGACUCUUAGCAACCACAUAGUUAGAUUCUCUCCAGGAUGAUCUGUCUACAAUUCCUAUCUGUUCAUGUCAUUUGAGGGAACCUAGCUACAGGCCCCUCAAAUGACAUGAACAGAUAGGAAUUGUACUGCUGUACCUGUGCUCGACAUAACGUGUGAACAGCUGUGCCUGUGUACAGAUCUGUACCUGUGUGCACUGUUCACUUGUACGAGUGUUGAACAUAAUGUGUGAAUAGGGCUGUAGUGUCACCUGUAUCACUCCUUGUUUGAUCAGCCUUUUUUGCUUUUGUGUCACGUCGCCUCUUCUGCUUGUUGUUUAUGGUGCCUCAGUGCUAGCUGUACACUUGGUUUGACUGGCAGAACCUUCCAUUCAGACAGGGCUGUACAAUGUCAUGCCUCCAGCUGUUGGACUACAACUCCCAUCAUCCCCAGCCACAGUGGCCAAACAAACAAACGAAUAUUUAUAUACCGCUUUUCAACAAAAGUUCCCAAAGAUCUUAUUAUUUCCCACAGAGAAAACAAUAAUAAAAUAGUAAGAUGGCUGCCUGUCCCCAAAGGGCUAGCAGACUACAAAGAAACAUAAGACAGACACCCGCAUCAGCCACUGGAGGGAUGCUGUGCUGGGGUUGGAUAGGGCCAGUUGCUCUCCCCCAAUAAACAGAAGAGUAUCACCACUUUGAAAAGGUGCCUCUUUGCUCAGUUAACAGAGGACAAUGACCAAGGAUGGUGCAAGUUGACCUCCAACAACAGCUGGGCAGCCCUGCUGUAGGUGGUGCAUUAUGAGGGCUUCUAAGAACGUGGUAUGAUGAAUGCAGUGGAGUUGUGUAAGAAAGGAGGGCAUUUGUCGUGGGGGUCGGAUGUCCAUAAAGCUUCCGAGAAGGGGGUGUGACUUGAGCACACGGCGUGUGUCAUGGCAUCUUGGGAAAGGUUUGCUGACGGGCUUCAGGAGGUAUUGAGAGGCUCUGCAACCAUUGAGAUGGACUAGAUGGAAGCCGGCCUGUCUUGGGAACAGAGCGCUCGCCUUUGCAGGAGCAGAUGAAAAGUUCAUCUAGUUUGUGUUCUCCCGCCCCGGGACACAUUCAUGUCUGGAAAGCCCACACAUGAGCAUGAAAAUGGCUUCUCUUUCUGUCUUUCCCUUACAUCUGUUGCUUGGAGGCAUGCUGUGCUCUAGCAGGAAGGCGUAAAGCUACUGCAAAAAGGGGGGGGGGGGUUAAAAGGGAAUUUCCCCUGCUAAGCUGGUUUUGAGGCCAAGGGCAUGGCUACAAUAGAAGGGUGGCGGGAGCAAAUAUCAUGGGACCACGGAGGGAGAGGGGGCCCAUCCGCUGAGCCCCAGCUUGCUCUUUGCUCUCCUCCUCCUCCUGCCUUUCUGAAGGAAAAAGGGGCUGGGACCCAUCUUCACUUCUUAUCCCAGAGCUUCUUUGAACCUUGCUGCACCCCUGUGUUCGGCAGAGAAAGCCUGUCUAGAGACCCUGGCUUCUCCACAAGCUGCUAAGCUUUUUCUAAACACACACGCACCCCAAUCCGAAUAGUCCUAAUAUGGGAUGAGGUUCUCAAGAUGCCUGCUUUUGUAGUGUUAAGAUCAUGUAUGUACACUUGAGAAGCAAGGCUUCUUCUAAUAUGCAGCUGGACAUCUUUUGAAUGGUGCAAAAAACUGUGCAGUAGGAAGCACGUUUUUCUGUGCAAUUGGGCCUCUGGAGUUUAAUAAGGAAGUAGGUUGUUUCUUAAAAAGAAACAGAGAAGAGAAGAAGCAGCAAAUACAGUUGAUUCCUGUUUCCUUUCAAUAUCCAUAACCUCAUACAUAAAGUAUAUUAGAAUCUUGCUUCACACGGUGGGGGGUUCUUUGGAAGUCACCUCCCAGUUUUCUUGCUUCCUCUCUGUCUUGUUCCUUUCCCCUCUCUCCAUAUCUGUUCCCUUUUCAGUUCAGUCUCCUUUUCCUUUCCAUCUUUCUUUCUGUUAGAGAACUCUGGAGUAAGGGGGUGCUCAUGGAUGGGAGGUGGUUGCCCCCGCCGCCACCUGUGCAAUAGGAAAGGACCUUGAAGCCCCUGAAUAAGAGUCAGAAAAAACCUUGUUGGGAAGCUUCCUGUGCUUGGAUCCAAAGAGCCGCAAGCAGAAGGGAAAUAGAUGCUAGCUUUGCUCUACAAAUGCUUGCACAUGAGUUCACUACCUGGAAUAGGUAGAUGCUAUAGCAGAGUCUCUUGUUUCUGCCUUUGCAAACAAAAUAACCCAUUUGGACUUUGUUUCACUGUGCUGGUGCACUGUUCUAGCACAAAGUUUAAAAUGUCUCUUCUGUGAAUGGCAACUCAACUUUGCCUCCAACCCAAGGCUUGUCCUUUACAUGGAGGUGACCCUCCCAAAGGAGAGCCUUUGCAAGACGUAGCUCCCAAGUUUUGCUGUUUCCAGAUGUGGUAGUGCAGGCAUACUGUUCCCAGUUGCUUAUGCAGUGCUCCCAAACAUGUCCCUUGUCCUUCUCUAGCAUGCCUUGCAAAGGUGGGAGUGAGAGAGGCUGUGAAUCAUCCUGAGGGCAAGGCUGCAAGACCACCUGUUGGGAUGCCGAGCUUAGAAGCACCCCUGGCUGGAGAGAGAACCAAGUAAUCCGAAAGAGUGUGUGCUGUUGCAGCGAUCUUCACUAUUUCAAGUGGGGAGCACUUUGGCAAAAUGCCUCCCAUGUGAGAGCCAUUUGCCACUGUGCUGACCUCUGCACAAUACUACACUCUUCUCGGUGCUGGGAGGAGCCUUUUCAGAGCGAUGGCACCUUCUCUCAAGAGCCCUGUGGGGGAAGGACACUCCCGAGCACUCUGUGCCUUCCAAGAUGCUGCUGCAGGGGCUUCAAGGUCCUUUCAAGGAGCCCCCGGCACUGGGCAAAGUGCAGCUCCGUGUGGCGGGAGCAGUCGCUUCCACAUGGUGGUGUCCAGCUUCCGCCAAAGCUGCUUCACCCAGGCCCAAUCAGCAGUUAGUCAGAGGGCCUUGCCUAGCGUUGCCCAUGAAGAACACUGGUAUAGGUUGAUGGGCCCAGAUCUUGUUUGGAGAGGGCCACAGUUUUGGACUCGGAAGGAGUGCUUUCGACAUGAUAAAAACAGCAGGUUUUUCUUGGGCACAGGGUAGUUAAGUGUAGCUAUGUAAGGGACUUCUCAAUAUAUGCUGUAGUAGAAGAAGGUUUCUAAGAAAAAGCUGUUCUAACUUGGUCUUUAGGUCAUGGUCUCUGGAUGUUGGCUAAAUGGGGCGAUUCCAUUCUGCACUCAGUUGUGAUUUGGUGGAGUUUGCAUUCCGGACUGGAUUUAGUUUGAGUGCGGAAGUGUUCCUGCUUUGCUUGAGCACCAGUCUUUGGUGGAGUCUGAAGCACCCCGUGUGUCUGUGUAAGAAUACUAGUUUUCAUUUUGGCGUUGAGACUAGUCCAGGGGUUCCCAGCAACAUCUGGAGACCCAAGGUUGGGAAUCCCCAGACUAGAGUGCAUAACAGUAAGCCAUUCUGAUUAAUCCAGCUUUCUCCUCGUGGGCGUUGGCAAAUUGAUUCUGUUUUGAUUUUGAUUUUUUUUUUACAGACGAGGUGAGCUAGCCGUUGUUGUGUCAGUCUCAUAAAUGGAUGUUUCACGCCAUUAGUUUUCUGUGUAGGAAAAUGGCAUAGACCUCUCUGUGUGUUGUAUGCUGUACGUUUUGGCAACAUCAAGAUAGUGGAGACCUGCUACCACUCUCUGCUUCCCUUCAGAUGGAUGCACCCAUGUGGAUUUGUCCCAUUUGUGGAUUUGUCCCAUGUUGCGGUGUACAAGUGGCAUGGACCAUGUUUUCCUGCAAGGAAGGUUAUGUCUGUGUAGAACUGUGUGAGUGAGAGAGAGGCUGUGUGUGUGUGUGUGUGUGUGUGUGCUCGUGCUCAAAAGGUUUCCUUAAUGUGCAGCACGAUAGUAUUAAUAAUCUGCAUGUGCACCUGCCUGCAUGCGCGCAUGUACAGUUAGGAGGACAGAUCUAAGCACCACCCUGAGGCAUUCCAUCCCCAAGUGUUUAGAACUGCCGCAAGCAGGUGCAUCUCUGUAAAUGAAUAUACAGCCUAGUGGAUGGAAGCGUCCCCGUUGUCAUGGCAUGGGGCACUGUGUUGGUGAUAUCAGCACCACUUUGUGCACCAGGGCAGGGGUGUGGUUUUUGAGAAGCUCUUCUGCAAACGCCUCUGUGUGGCCUUUAAGCCAGCACCCUUGAUGGAAGCACUCUUUGACAACUUUCUGCUGUCACUGAGGAGUGUAGAAUGUGUUGGACGUCCUCUGGUGUCUCUUCCCAGCCCCCUCCAACAAAAGUAUGCUCAAGUCAAGCUAGCUUGUUAUAUCUGGAUUGUUGCCGUUUGCCUUCCAGCGGGUGGACAGAUGGAUGGCAAGUCCAUUGCCUUUACAAUAUUUACUUUUUAAACCACCUUGACCGUGUGUGCCUCUUUGUAUUGCAAAUGUGAGCUGCAACUCUUGGGAGAGGGUGGGAGGGUUGGUUUAUAUAUACAUUAUAUAAAUAAAUAUAUAUUUAAAAAAGAUAUAUAAUGACAAAUUUGUAUUACAGUAUGUGUUUAAAAUGUGAUCCUUUACCCAGAAGCAACAUAUCCCCAUCUCCCUCCACAACUUGCCCCUGCCAAGUAAACUGUCCUUGCCAAAACGGUUAGCUAUUUUGGAGUUUUCUUCCAGUUUGGUUCAGUAUCAGCUCCAUUGUAGUCUCCUCCACUUUAACUGGAUCACGUAUCUGUCAGCAUUGUUAGAUUCCUUAUGUUGGCUGUUAACACACUCCAUUUAAAGAGGGUGGAUCUUGUAAGGUGGCCUUUACUAAUCAAAGGCCAGGUAUUCUUGAACCAGCAAACAAAACCUUGUGUUUGCGUGACAGAGUUUUCUUCCCUCUUCUCCCCCCACCCCUAAUUGGUUCAGUGGUGCAGGUCAGUAUGUGUGUGUCUAGAGGUCUUGGUCUAAUACCCCAUGGCCAGAUCUUCUGAGGGAAUGACCAAGCCUAGACUGCCAAACUUUUGUUGGAAGGAGGGGAUUUUUUGUUUUGGUUCUAAAUUUGUUCUUAAUCUUUUCAAUGAAGGGAGUAGGGAAUGCUGGGAGUAAUAAGGGGAAGGUCCUACCUUUUGUUAACAGGGCUGAAAUUCACACGGGCUUGCAAUAUAAACCGUAAUAUGUUUGUCGUAAACAAAAUGGCACACUGUUUAGGCAUGGGUGCCAAAAGCAGAGGAGGUCUGUGGCACACCUGGACAGGAGCAAGAGAGCCCAUGUGCCUUGCUUUCAGUCAGCAGUUCUCAAACUUGGGUCCCCAGAUGAUGUUGGACUAUAACUGUCAUCAUCCCAGUCGCAGUGGCCAAAAGCCGUUGUGGUUGGAGGUGAUGGGAAUUGUAGUCCACGAUCAUCUAGGACCCAAGUUUGAGAUCUCCUGCUUUAAGACAUAGUCUGCUCUUUUCUCCAGGCUGCCUCUCUGUUAUCCCUUCCUUUGCUUAGUAAGCGAAAGGCAAAGCCACAUCAAGGCAUCAGGGCAGGGUGGGGAGGAGAGGUGGAGGCUACGCAUGCACUAUAACUCACACUCCCCUACUCUGACUUGUGGCACUUUUGCCAAAGAGGUUGGCCACCAAUGGUUUAUGGAGCAACAUGUGUUCUAUAUCGUAACAUGCAGUGCCUCCGGCAUUCUGACACCAUGUCUUUGAAUACUCAGUUAGGGUAUGAGAUCACCUUGAAAUACCUGAAGGUACAGGUAAAGUCUGGACAAGCGGUUGUCUUUCAGGCUUGUCAAAAACUGUCUCUUUGGGUCAGUCCAUUGUGUUAUGCAACAUGUCAUGUCCACUGAUUAAAGUUACACUCUUCUGUUUUUGUCGAAUGUUCUGUUGCUUACAAAUAUGUAACCGUACAAAAUUCAGUCAUGGAACUCCUGAGCCAAAUCUGUCCCAAAGUUGUUCUUCUGUGACAGAUUCCACUCCUUAGUGUGUCUUUGUUUUGUCCAUUUUCUCUAUACUGGAAGUACUCUAUUUUUUUUUAAGUAAAACUAUUUUAUUGGUUCUAGUGUUGCUUUGCUUCAGUUUGAAGUGUAACUUUCACUAAUAACUGCAAUAAAUACGCUUUGCUCCAGAA